rnacentral:rRNA from 1 species
AUUGAACGCUGGCGGCAGGCCUAACACAUGCAAGUCGAGCGAGUGGCGGACGGGUGAGUAAUGUAUGGGGAUCUGCCAGAUAGAGGGGGAUAACUACUGGAAACGGUGGCUACUACCGCAUACUAUCGGAUAAACCAAGAUGGGAUUCGCUAGUAGGUGGGGUAAAGGCUCACCUAGGCGACGAUCUCUAGCUGGUCUGAUAGGAUGAUCAUCCACACUGUGACUGAGACACGGCCCAGACUCCUACGGUAGGCAGCAGUGGGGAAUAUUGCACAAUGGGCGCAAGCCUGAUGCAGCCAUGCCGCGUGGAUGAAGAAGGCCUUAGGGUUGUAAAGUACUUUCAGCGGGGAGGCGUUACCCGCAGAAGAAGCACCGGCUAACUCCGGGCCAGCAGCCGCGGUAAUAC